CAUGCACCACCACAUCUGUCUUUUA
rnacentral:misc_RNA from 1 species